AGAGUUUGAUCCUGGCUCAGAUUGAACGCUGGCGGAAUGCUUUACACAUGCAAGUCGAACGGCAGCAUAGAGAGCUUGCUCUCUGAUGGCGAGUGGCGAACGGGUGAGUAAUAUAUCGGAACGUGCCUAGUAAUGGGGAAUAACUAGCUGAAAGGUUAGCUAAUGCCGCAUACGACCUACGGGUGAAAGCAGGGGAUCUUCGGACCUUGCGUUAUUAGAGCGGCCGAUAUCUGAUUAGCUUGUUGGUGGGGUAAUGGCCUACCAAGGCGACGAUCAGUAGCUGGUCUGAGAGGACGAUCAGCCACACUGGAACUGAGACACGGUCCAGACUCCUACGGGAGGCAGCAGUGGGGAAUUUUGGACAAUGGGGGCAACCCUGAUCCAGCCAUUCCGCGUGAGUGAAGAAGGCCUUCGGGUUGUAAAGCUCUUUCGCAAGAGAAGAAAACUUGCUAUCUAAUAAAUAGUAAGUAUGACGGUAUCUUGACAAGAAGCACCGGCUAACUAC
rnacentral:rRNA from 1 species